rnacentral:rRNA from 1 species
UACGAAGGGAGCUAGCGUUGUUCGGAAUCACUGGGCGUAAAGCGCACGUAGGCGGAUUUGUCAGUCAGGGGUGAAAUCCCGGGGCUCAACCUCGGAACUGCCUUUGAUACAGCAAGUCUUGAGUUCGAGAGAGGUGGGUGGAAUUCCUAGUGUAGAGGUGAAAUUCGUAGAUAUUAGGAAGAACACCAGUGGCGAAGGCGGCUCACUGGUCCGGUACUGACGCUGAGGUGCGAAAGCGUGGGGAGCAAACAGG